CUCUGGCUAUAUUUUCAGUGUAUCUGUUUGUUAUUAUAUAUAAUUUAUGUUAGCUGUAGGAUUACGAAAUAAAUAAAUAAAUAAAUAAAGGUUAGCAUAACCUUAUAAGCAGUAAGGUCAAAAGUAAGUUAAGUUAUUAAUCAUAUUUAUUUUUGCAGAUAUCUUACAGUCUCCAAGUGUGGUGAUUGUAGACGACCACAUAAGUGAAGCAAGAGUUAAGACAACACAACCUAAUAAUAAAGAUGUUGUGACAAAGGAUUGGGGAGAUUACACACCACAAUUGUUGAGGACUCCGGAGUCACAGGCACUCAAAAUUGAUGGUGCAGUAGAUAAAAAUACUCCUGUGACUGAUAAUAAUAAAGCAAACGUAAUUGAGAAGAAACUAAAUCACGAGACCUGGGUUUCUAGAAGGAGGCCACUCCAUUCAAAUACGGCUUCUUCUUUGGAACAGCUUUAUAAAAAGAAGAUAGAA